CAGCCACGUGGCGCGCCAUUGCCGGCUGACGGUAAUUCGCAAGUGCCUUGCAAAUCCGUUGGAAGGCUAAAUAACAAACAACAACAAUAAAAACAGCAAAAGUUGUGUCGUCGCCGCAAUAAUGCCGACACAAAGUCUAAAGUUAAGUGGCGGGCGUGCUCGAGUAUAUUCGUGUGUGUGUGUUUUUUGCUGUGUUGACCGGAAGUGAAAGCAAGAAAAGGAAGUGCAAUGAAAGUGUUUUCCUCUUCUCUUGCAUAAAUAAGUAAAUCUGCGCUUUUCUAGUAUUUACAAAGAAUUGUGAGAAAUCUGCGGAUAUAGCUGUUCAAAAGGCACAAACCACAACAACGCGCUACAUUACUCUCCCAUUAACUAAUUUCAUAAAAUCAUAAAAAUUAGAAGUUAGAUCUAAGGCAAAAAAUUAAACUGUGAUGGCCGUAAAGUUCACUGAUUGCAACUAAAAGCACUGUGUGCAAAGAAAGAGUAAAGGAAAAACACGAGCUACUAUUUUUUCGCUUUGCAGGUGUCAUAAAGUAGUGCAUGGAUUACUCAAAAUUCUCGCUCAAUUGCACAUAAUUUUGGAUAUAUAGUAUAAACUUCUUCUACUCUUGGAAAUAUGCCAUUUUUCAAUGAAAAUAUCUCGAUGAUAUUUACGUGGAACACCGCCUCCGAUUUGUAGAAUGAAUUUGAAUGCAUGCUGCAGCAAAAGCGUGCCAAAAGCAAUAGCAGCAUCCCAUCCUCAUCGAGAAGCAAACAUGGCCAAUAGUCCGGUUGGUCGGGGUGGUCCGACCUGUUCAAGAACCUACGAAGACAGCGUCAUGCAACAAAUACGCCACAGCUUCAACACAAACGGCUGCAAGGGCGAAAGCGUACGCUAUCGCAUCUGCAAUAUUCAGCCAUAUCCGGAGCAGCAAGGCUAUCGUGCGUAUCAGCGUGCCGCCUAUAAUGACAUGCCAUAUGAUGGCACACUCUACCUGUGGACGCCACACUACGAUUAUAUGGAGCCAUGCGCGUUGACAUGCAGAAAUUUGGCGAUUCGAGACGUCAUCACAUGCUGUUCGAUAAGGGUCUACAAUUAGGCAUCGAUUUGGAAAAUUUCGAACAGGACGUGCAGAUGCGACCACAAUUCGUUAUUGAAUAUCUGCGGGACCUUGUAGCGUCCGAAGUAUUUGCUCCAUUAUCUGUAGCAGUCACGAAGGACGGCAGCAGCAAUGAGUGGCACGAACAGGAAGCAACAGACCAUGUAAGCGCCAUCACUAGUACAACAACAACGUUGCCAUAAGAUAGCAAUGCCGUUGGCGCAACACACGAGGACGACGCACCACAUUUACCGCACGCCAGGUGGCAGAAGCGGGGUGAGCCAGAAACAGCCACAGUGGCCACGAGUAACCACGUCACGUACGAAAGGCGCAUCAGCGAUUGGUCGGAGUGUUCAGAGAAGCGUGGUAAUGCGGGCGGCAAAAGUAUAUGGUAGCUUGCCUACGUUUGCGCCAUCACACAUCUACAUACAACGUGUUGGAAUCACACAUGGCAGCGGACAUCGAAACGGCGGACAAUGCGUACUGUGAGGAUUAUGGACUAAGCGUUCCUGACACGUUUGAAAUGUGCGUUCAUGAGGAGUGUGUCCGUUACGAGACCGGCGAGAGGACUUUGUGUCAGCGUUCUCGUUGCUUUGUACGCAAUACAGUCAUACAAAAGCGUGAGGUGAAAUGUCGAUUUGAGAAUGCGUCCCAAUAGACGGCAGGCGUGCUAUAGUCAGUGGUGCAAGGGGAUUGGUCGUGUUGAGCUAUGGUCCGAGUGCGGUCACCAGGGAAUUAAAUACCAUAUUAUACUGUGUGUUCAGUGUGGUACGCGCCGACCAGCAGGCAACGCUUGUCGCCACCAACCACUUUCCGCAGUUAUAAAAGAAUACAAGAGUCCGUCAUGCUUUGCAAAAGCGAGCAUCGUGUUGUAGCAACAGGCGAAAACAGAAGCAGAGCGUGUCUUGCCAAGUUCAUAUUGAGUUAAAUAAAGAAUAAUAAAAUAUUAGCAACUCAGCGUAAAACUUUAGAAAGUACAGGAAUGAAGUACAAAAUCUGGUACUCAACAUAAGAAUAAAUAAU